GAAAUGCGAUAAGUAAUGUGAAUUGCAGAAUUCAGUGAAUCAUCGAAUCUUUGAACGCACAUUGCGCCCGCCAGUAUUCUGGCGGGCAUGCCUGUCCGAGCGUCAUUUCAACCAUCAAGCCCCCGGGCUUGUGUUGGGGACCUGCGGCUGCCCGCAGGCCCUGAAAACCAGUGGCGGGCUCGCUGUCACACCGAGCGUAGUAGCAAUCACCUCGCUCAGGGCGUGCUGCGGGUUCCGGCCGUUAAACAGCCUUACAAAACCCAAGGUUGACCUCGGAUCAGGUAGGAAGACCCGCCGAACUUAAGC
rnacentral:misc_RNA from 1 species